CAGGGGGAAUCCUAAUGGUCGGGAGCUUUCUUUGGGAGAAAGAAUUAGUGGGUUCGAUUCCCACCCACCUGA
rnacentral:tRNA from 1 species